rnacentral:rRNA from 1 species
GAUGAACGCUGGCGGCGUGCCUAAUACAUGCAAGUCGAGCGAACGGACGAGAAGCUUGCUUCUCUGAUGUUAGCGGCGGACGGGUGAGUAACACGUGGAUAACCUACCUAUAAGACUGGGAUAACUUCGGGAAACCGUAGCUAAUACCGGAUAAUAUUUUGAACCGCAUGGUUCAAAAGUGAAAGACGGUCUUGCUGUCACUUAUAGAUGGAUCCGCGCUGCAUUAGCUAGUUGGUAAGGUAACGGCUUACCAAGGCAACGAUGCAUAGCCGACCUGAGAGGGUGAUCAGCCACACUGGAACUGAGACACGGUCCAGACUCCUACGGGAGGCAGCAGUAGGGAAUCUUCCGCAAUGGGCGAAAGCCUGACGGAGCAACGCCGCGUGAGUGAUGAAGGUCUUCGGAUCGUAAAACUCUGUUAUUAGGUAAGAACAUAUGUGUAAGUAACUGUGCACAUCUUGACGGUACCUAAUCAGAAAGCCACGGCUAACUACGUG